rnacentral:ncRNA from 2 species
AAAAUUCUUCGGGGCAGGGUGACUGAUUUACAGAAGAUCGGAAUUCCCUACCGGCGGUAUAGUCCGCGACCCGCGUAAUGCGGCUGAUCUGGUGACUGGCUUACAGAGAGUCAGAAUUCCGGAACCGACAGUAAAGUCUGGAUGAGAGAAGAACACG